rnacentral:rRNA from 1 species
AGUGAACGCUGGCGGUAGGCCUAACACAUGCAAGUCGAACGGCAGCACAGUAAGAGCUUGCUCUUACGGUUGGCGAGUGGCGGACGGGUGAGGAAUACAUCGGAAUCUACUUUUUCGUGGGGGUUAACGUAGGGAAACUUACGCUAAUACCGCAUACGACCUACGGUUGAAAUCAGGGGUUCUUCGGACCUUGCGCGUUUUAUUGAGCCGAUGUCGGAUUAGCUAGUUGGCGGGGUAAAGGCCCACCAAGGCGACGAUCCGUAGCUGGUCUAAGAGGAUGAUCAGCAACACUGGAACUGAGACACGGUCCAGACUCCUACGGGAGGCAGCAGUGGGGAAUAUUGGACAAUGGGCGCAAGCCUGAUCCAGCCAUACCGCGUGGGUGAAGAAGGCCUUCGGGUUGUAAAGCCCUUUUGUUGGGAAAGAAAAGCAGCAGGUUAAUACCCCGCUGUUCUGACGGUACCCAAAGAAUAAGCACCGGCUAACUUCGUG